GCAGAGCUGAGGCCAGUGCAGGCUCCUCUGCCUCCUACCGCCCAGGGCAAGCUUAGGAGGUGUCCUAAACCUGCCUAAAUUGCCAGGGCAACUGUGAGGCAAUGCACAGAAGCUCACUCGGCCACAGGGUGAUACAGUGGACCCACGCAGAGCCAAGGAAGCUGCACAGGGACAAGGGCUGAUGAUAUUGAAAGUUCAUAUGGAUCAGGUGAUUUCACUGUGAAAGGCUUCCUCCACAGACUGAGCAUCAUCAAUGACUGGGCAAAAUUCCACUGGGCUCUUCUAGACUUUUUCCAAGGACUAUUUCUGGAAACAAACUUCAACAUUCCCAGAAAGUCACAUGAAGAGUUCACACCGAGUCUCAGAGGAGCCAAUGAACAAAAUCUGGGACUAUAAAGACCAUGAAGUCCUUUGAAGAGUGACUAAGCGCAUUGUACACCGAGAUGCACAGGAGCCUGUAGAAACUAAGACAUUUGGAGCAGCAGGAUGCCAUUGAGAAGAGGUUGGGAAUGUUAAAGCUGUAAGUUCCAGUCCAUUCUCAGAAAGCUAACCAAGAGACGUCUUGUAUCAGAUCAACUCUCAGAAUCAGAAGGUCUCAGAGGGCAUAAGAGUGGGCCAGUUCCUACGUAAGAGUUGGUCCUUCAGCAUGUGGUUGCAGAUUACAUCUCCAAGGCUGAGGCAGGAACCUGGCUGCUUCCUCCAGCUGGAGCACUGGGUCUUGAUCUGUUUGUGCUAGUGGUUUAGAGGAAAGCUACAGUCUUCCUCCUCAUCUUCUUCCAUUAGUGGCCCUAUGAGUGUGACUAUAGAGUCAUCAAUCUUCCGUCAAAGUCAGGGAUCCAGAGGCAGGAUCCAACUGAGAACUAGGCAGGUGAAACUGACAUGUAUGCAGUUUCAGGAGCUCCUUGCCUUAUGCAUGUAUUGUAGGUAAAGAACAGGGACCAAUCAGGGGAAAGCCUGCCAAACCCAGAGAAGAAAGGACAGCCAGAAACUACCCAGGACAGAGAAUCGGGUGGGGGGAGGGAUUCAAUCAGGUCUGCUGCUCUGUCCCCUAUCCCUCACUGCACUGCAGAGAAAGCUGGACAAGAAGGCAGGAGAUUAUGGUCCAAUCGCAAUCGCAACUGGAGUUUUCACCUGUGUUCAUUUCCCAGUGUUAUUUUUAAAAGUCUCCAGCUGUUGAUUCAACCUCCAGUUGGGGCUGCUAUUAUCUUUCCCUCUCCUUUCAACAUGAAUCCCUUGGGGCUAGAGGUAAAGAUGACUAGAAUGCCCUAUGAAAACCUCUGCCAUGGUAUAGAUGACUAGAAUACCCUAUGAAGAACCUCUGCCAUUUGCUACCUCCCUCUUCUGUUCUGGAAAGGCCCUGAGUCCUAGGAUAAAGAACACAUAGGAGCCACAGUUUCCCACAUGUGUCCUUGUUUGUUCUGUGUGCCCACAUAAAGCUUACCUUAACACAGUGUCCUCAGAGCCAUGGAGCGCGAUAUGCAGUAGCUGAGCACUUUAAAUCCAAGGAGAUGCAUGCCUGAGUGACUGAUCACUCUGCUCUUCCUCCCUCUCCAAGCUGGGUCUCCUGUCUCAUUUGUUGAUUUUUAUUUUCUCUCCCCCAUUACUUCCUAUUCCCACCUCAUACAACUCCCUCCUCACUAGGACAGUGUCUAGAUAAAACCUCCAAUUUACUUCACCCUGAGACUGUACAUAAUUCUGGUUUACCAAUAGACAAGGACAUGGGUAAAAGCAGAGAUAAAACCAAAUGUCAAGUUAUACCUGGCUUUCUCCUGUCAGUUGUUUUUAUAAAUCUCACCUUGCCCACUCAUUUUUGGGGGGACACCCUCAUUUGACAAAUCUGACAAACAUGAUGAGGGUUUGGAGGGUAAUAUGAAGCAGCAAAGUCUUAAGAGGCAUAUCCUACUUUUCCUCCCACCCCUACCCCCCCACCCCCGGGCUGGCCUGAACUAGAUUCUGAUGUCUCAAUGUGUUCGGGGACACUUUGAAAGGUCUUCUUUGAUAAACUGUAGGAGAAGCUUGUUUCUUCUGUGUAUACCCCACUGCUCCUGAGUAAGCAAAUACAUGGUUCAGUCAUAAAGCCUCUCUGGGCUUUGCUCAGAAUAGUUGUCCUCUCCUGCACAACAGGGGCAUUUGUCUCCCCUCUCUGCUCUCACUGGUCUUUAUCAGUUCAUAAAAUGUCAAAGGGAGGGUCACUGGCUCUGCUUCUGGGGGUACAGAGAGAAAGUGUCAGGGUCUUCAGCAGAAGAGAAAGAUGUCACCCCUGAGUUCCUAAUCUUUGCUUGCAUCUUAUAACCAUUGUCCUGAUGCCUGGUCCCUAAUAGGUGGUAUAAAACCAUAGUUUCUUUAAGCUUUUGUGUGUUAAAAGUUCUUUUAUGUCUUGGGUAUCAAACCCAUUAUCUUUCAUGGCUGCCACAAUUUCAGAGUCUUGGCAGCUGGUGUCUCCAUCACAGUGACUUGUUAAAGUCUCAUCGCCUUUCAUAGCCAUGGAUGCUGCCUCAUUGGAUUUUGUACAGUUGGCUUCUACUUAGCAUUCAUUGUUAAUAAUGGACUAAUAAUGCAUGCUUAGUAAAUCUUUGAGAAAGUUAUGUGGGAUGUCAUACUGCAUUUGCAAAACUUUUUUGCUAAGCUCUGAUAAGGUGGGCCCUGCAAAUGGAAUAGACCCCAGUUGCUAUAUAGGAUAAGAGGACACAAAAAGUCAAUUUUGGGAUCAUCAUAAGGAAUGCCCAGAAAGAAUUCUGUGAGGAAGGAAUAAACUGAAAUGUUGCAACAGGCUUGAAUCUUGCAACUACACAAGACUUUAUUAUUUUUACACUUCUGCUCCCAUUCCACUAACACAUUAUCAGAAAGCAGGUAUCUAUCUAUAAGCUGUAUCUUCAUCAGGGCAGCAGCCUACAGCAAGGAGAAUCUGUUGGAUUUUUUCUUUUUCCUCUUUCAGGAUGUUGGUCUUCUGGUUGUGAUAGUUUUUCUCCCUCAGUUACUUCCACGAUUUAAAAAGUAUUUUAUUUGGUUACUUAGAGGGGAAUGAUGUUGGGGUAUUUGAUUUUUUUCACAAUGGCCACCUCUGCAAUCGCUGCUUUGGAACCACUUCUCCUGCUUCAGCAAAACUUUCACAGUGACUGACUCACCUGUGAGACGAUGGGAGACUAAUUUAGCCUUGGCCUGAAAUAUUUAGGGUAGUGAUUAUGUCUUCAUCAAAGAUGAUGGGUACAGUGCUGGGCCCUGAUGUUGCCUCCCUUGCCACUGUACAUUGUAGGUGGGAAUGCUACGUCAAAAAGAGAACGUAGCAGAAGAAAUGAAGUCUGAAGCACAAGAAACAACUAAAACCAAAGAAAACCAACACUACAUUUAAACAAAAACUCAAUGCCAAGUGAAGAAAAAAAUGAAAAAGGAUAGAUAUGAAAGAAAUGGUACACUCUAAAAUAACCAGGAAAAAAUAUACAACAGGUAAAACCAGAAAAUGAAAACUAAAGUUCAGCUCAACCAAACAAAAAUGUUCAAAAAUCAAACCUAACUAAAUGCCAAAUUGUAGUAAAUUCCACAGAAUCCAGAGUAUUACUAGAGGCAAAGAAAUAUAUUACAAGGAAAAAAAGAGACUGAAAGAAAGUAAAAGAAAUACCAAAAUAUAACCUUUAAAAAUUUGAACAAAAGUCUCAAACAAAAAUGAAAAUUAGAAUGAAGAUAAUCUACAAAGACCAAAAUGUGAAAAGGAACCAGGAACCUAGUGAAUGAAAGACGAAUGAAGUAAACCAUAAAGUGGGGGAGAUUGCUCAGUCCACAAAGUUCCUCCAUCGCAAGUGUGAGGCCGGGAAGUACAGUGAAAGAACACCAAUCUCAGUGCAAGGUGAGCCAACAGGUGUGUAUUCCUGGGACUCAUCGGAUGGCUAGCCUAAUCUACUUAGAAACUAUAGGCCAGUAAGAGACUCUGCUUAAGCAAAGUGGCCAGCAGACCUGAAAUAAGUCAGGUGGCAUUGCACUCUUUGGCACCACCAGCAAGCUUCCAUUGAGUUCAAAUUGGAAGUUGCUUGAAGUUCAAAUGGUGACGGCUAUGAGUGAGCUAUGAGGUAAGGUUCUUUCUGUGCAUAAGAAAGAUGUACUGGGUAUUGGCAUCCUUGAAGGGCUUUCACUGUUUUUCUGAAACCUACAUGGCUACUGGAGGUCUGUCUUGCUCUUACUUAGGGCUCUCAAGAGAUGUAUGAAUGUCCUGCCUCAAAAGUUGCUAUCAUAUGUGAGACAAGAUGGUGGUGGCAGGAACAGGAUUUCCCUUAACUGGACUUUGGAGUGCAUGACAGUUCUGACAUUGCAGGUACCUCAUCCAAACACAGUCUUUGCCCUAGCUCUGGCUUCGCAGAGGCCCUGUUGUGUGUAAAGAGCUCUCUGAUGGCCUUACGGGAGACUUUGGGCAUUCGCCUUAGAGCAAAUGCUAUGAACAAGCUGCCCCUUCUUCCAUGGUUGCUAGUGAGUCAGAAGAGGCUACAAGUACACAUACCCAUGUCUAUUUAACUCUGUAGAGGGCACUUUGGAGAGGAAGCCAAGAUCUAGAAGGUGUUCCAAUGUAUCUUCUUUUGCCUACAGAGGGGUGGUCAUUAGCAUUGGCUCCCAAGACCAACCCUCAUAGAUUGUGAUCUCUUGGCCCAAGGAUCUUUUAAAAAGAAGCACCUAGUGUGUAUGUGUAUAUAUAUAUGUACUUUUUAAAAUUCUGCACAGGGAUCCAAUCUCUAUGACUGGAAAGUCUCCUCUUCUGUGAGCAGACCCCGGCCUGGGUCAAGAGUUAAUUGAGCUGGUUCUUGAAGCUUGAUAGAUGCUUGAAGAUUACUGUAGUGCAUAAGUCCUCCUGGGGACUUUAGGAAAGCUCCCAGACCAACAGAUGGGUUUGAGGGGUAGUAGAUCCUAGUGCUUAAGAGUAUCCUUACAGAUGUUCACUGGUUGUGCCAUAGAUCCUGCUCCCCUGAUGAUCUUUGGGACUAUGACCACUUUUGUUCUCAGAUAACCUCUGCCCUACCUUCAAUGGGUCUAGGCCUCUCUCAGUGAAGAUGUUCUCUGUAUAAAGACUACCUUAUGUUUUUUAUAAAGUUUACCUGGAAACUUAACAGGCCCCAUAAUUUAACAGUAUGCAUACAUGUAAUUUAAUCUAUUGAGUAUGUGCUUUGAAUUCAGCUUUCUCUUGUUAAGGUGCUAUUACACAGCACUAUAUUCUAAGCCAAACAACUGCCAAGGAUUGCUAUGCCAAAUUUCAAAGGAUCAUCACUGCUAGUCUUGUUGAUUAUUGGCUUGUUAAUGUUAUUAUGUCUCAGAAAAUGCCUGGAUAUUUUUCCAUGAUGGAAAAGAAAGUUGGAAAGCUUAAGCAAAUUAUACGGGUCUGAGCAAGUUAUAUAAGGUAUGUAAACAGUCAGAAUUCAAUACAUUGAUGUCAAAGCUCUGCUUAAAUAAAUGGCCUGUUCUCCCUAACAAUUACAAAGAUUGUUUGAGGAAAAAAAUGUUUAUUUAAUCAAAAUGUAUUUAAAUAUUUGGUUGUCAGUGGCAUCCUGGGUGUUCAAUAACCAUACUUGGAGACCAUACUAAUGUGGUCAGAGGGAUUAAAAAGGAGAAUAUAUUCCUCCUUGGCCCCCAAGAUCAAGUAGGUCGGACAAGCAUCUCACACAAAGUGCUUUUUAACUGUGAGGAAUCACCUUUUCUGUUGUUCAGGGAGGUCAUGGAGACGCCAACCAGUAUACUCAAACCACUGUCCAGUCUACAAAGAGGAGGGCCUAUAAAGGACCCUCCAUGGAUCUUGCUUCCAUGUUUCCAAGUAAAGCCAUAGCUAAGCAUAAAUUCUCCUCCCGUAGAAUGAGCAUACUUGGAAAAGGAAGGUUAGACGCUCAAGCUCAAGUGACCCUCAAGGACAAUAUCUUCAACUGGCCUUGACAAUAAAAAAUAGAGUUAAUUUUGUCCACCUGUAUGGUCUUAAACACCCAGCAGGAAAGUAUAACCAAAAAUAAAUAAAUAAAUAAAAUGACUGGUGUAUUUCUUGAACAGUUUAAGGGACCAUACUCCCUAGACAUUAGGUUUAAAGCCACAUGGGUUUAGACAACCAUUUCUCAUUAGUGAUUUUCUUCUUGAUAAGAAAAAUGCUGCCUAGAUAUAAAAUGUCAAUGCCUUGGCUCAACUCAGCACUGCAUCAUCUAUCUCCAACCAAGAGAGAUAAUCCCCAUAGUUUUAAUUAUCAUUUUAUGCUUAGGUUAAAUUGAUUUUCUUUCUCCCUCUUUAGAAGCCAUGUGAACCAAGCUCAUCCCAACAGCUGCCAAAGUGUCUGAAAGUAGAUCCUGGGUCCACCCUUCCCCAUCCCAGCCUUGGAUCUGCUGCUGCUAUGUGAAACGUUUCUGAAAACAGUGACCUAUUUUGUUUGUAAUGCAGUGGCCUCUAGUAUUCUCCUCUCUACUCCUUCAGCCCUUCCACUUCUACAGAUGGCCCUUUACGUGGAGCCUCAGAUACGUACAGCCUGUCUAAAGAAGCCGGGUUCCAGAAGCCUGCCUUGUGGGAGUUCCCUGCCUCUUGGACUGACACUCCCCUGGACUCCGCCCCCUCACAGCAUGAAGCAGCUAGAGCGGUCAUCGUCCCCUUUCCUGACAAUAAUUGGUGUCAAUCUCUGAAGUGGGGAAGGAAGGCAGGUUAGAUGGACAUAGGUAGACUAGGAAAGUGAGAGCAGACUUCCUGACACAAGGCUUCUUAUUCUCAGAAGACACUGUGAGACAGGGUAUGAAAGCUGAAACUAUAGAGGAAGGGAGGACAAAGGGGCCCUAUAAAAUACCUACGCCAGAAGCCUUUUAGAGAAAUUCUAGCCUUUGCUAUCACCUAUCCUCUAGGAAUAAAGCUGUUACUUU
rnacentral:lncRNA from 1 species